rnacentral:antisense_RNA from 1 species
AAUGAUUAAUUCCUACUUUUGACGUGAAUAUAGGGAAGUGUAGAACAUGCAUGUUAACCCCGGAGCCCAGGUAUCAUAUACGCCCCCAAAAUAGAGAGCCUUGAAUACUAGAAGAAAGGCACCUACACCUAACAAAAUUAAGUGAAUACCCAAAAUGGUGGUCAUUUUAUUAGACAAACUUUUAA